UACCCGUACCGCAAACCGACACAGGUGGGUGAGGAGAGUAUCCUAAGGCCAGCGAGAGAACUGUUGUUAAGGAACUCGGCAAAAUGACCCCGUAACUUAGGGAUAAGGGGUGCCACCAUCAGGUGGCCGCAGAGAAUAGGCCCAAGCGACUGUUUACCAAAAACAUAGGUUUCUGCUAAGUCGCAAGACGAUGUAUAGGAGCUGACGCCUGCCCGGUGCUGGAAGGUUAAGGGGAUCUGUUAGAGCAAUCGAAGCAGUGAACUUAAGCCCCAGUAAACGGCGGCCGUAACUAUAACGGUCCUAAGGUAGCGAAAUUCCUUGUCGGGUAAGUUCCGACCCGCACGAAAGGC
rnacentral:rRNA from 1 species